AGGUGGUGCAUGGUUGUCGUCAGCUCGUGUCGUGAGAUGUUGGGUUAAGUCCCGCAACGAGCGCAACCCUUGUGUUUUAGUGCAAACAGGUCAAGCUGUGCACUCUAGACAGACUGCCGUGGACAACACGGAGGAAGGUGGGGAUGACGUCAAAUCAUCAUGCCCCUAUGAUCUGGGCUACACACGUGCUACAAUGGCCGGUACAACGGGCAGCGAAGGAGCGAUCCGGAGCGAAUCCUAAAAAGCCGGUCCCAGUUCGGAUUGCAGGCUGAAACUCGCCUACAUGAAGUUGGAGUUGCUAGUAAUCGCGAAUCAGAAUGUCGCGGUGAAUGCGUUCCCGGGUCUU
rnacentral:rRNA from 1 species